rnacentral:rRNA from 1 species
UGGGGAAUAUUGCACAAUGGGCGCAAGCCUGAUGCAGCAACGCCGCGUGCGGGAUGACGGCCUUCGGGUUGUAAACCGCUUUCACCCAUGACGAAGCGAUAGUGACGGUAGUGGGAGAAGAAGCACCGGCCAACUACGUGCCAGCAGCCGCGGUGAUACGUAGGGUGCGAGCGUUGUCCGGAAUUAUUGGGCGUAAAGAGCUUGUAGGCGGUUGAUUGCGUCAGAAGUGAAAUCUCAGGGCUUAACUCUGAGCGUGCUUCUGAUACGGGUUGACUAGAGGAAAGUAGGGGAGAACGGAAUUCCUGGUGGAGCGGUGGAAUGCGCAGAUAUCAGGAGGAACACCGGUGGCGAAGGCGGUUCUCUGGACUUUUCCUGACGCUGAGAAGCGAAAGCGUGGGGAGCAAACA